UACGUAGGGUGCAAGCGUUGUCCGGAUUUAUUGGGCGUAAAGAGCUCGUAGGCGGUUUGGCAAGUCGGGUGUGAAACCUCCAGGCUCAACCUGGAGACGCCACUCGAUACUGCUAUGACUUGAGUCUGGUAGGGGAUCACGGAAUUCCUGGUGUAGCGGUGAAAUGCAUAGAUAUCAGGAGGAACACCGGUGGCGAAGGCGGCUUCCUGGCCUGUUCUUGACGCUGAGGCGCGAAAGCUAGGGGAGCAAACGGG
rnacentral:rRNA from 1 species